rnacentral:snoRNA from 1 species
GUAUGAUGAAAUUACAAGCUGGCACCAGUCUUAGCAGGAUUUGUACUCCCAUAUCUGCUGACUUAGCUUUUUGGGCCUCACUUCGCGGUGAAUGGUCUUUAUCUGAU